GAGAGUUUGCCUAGUUUAACAAGUUUUUUUUCUGGAAGUGACGUUUUGAGAUGUCCAUCCUUGAAUAAAGUUGAUAUAGUUGACUGUCCCAAGAUGUUGAAUCCGUUUCCACAGUAUCGGUGAAAUAUUACUGUAGCAUGAUUGUUAAGGGACGCAAAGAAGCUCCUUUCAAGCGCAAAUGUCAAGAGUGACAAUUGAUGAAGAAAAUUGAAGUCAUCCUUCAUUUGCAUUUUUGAAUAAAGCUGGAAUAAGGCAGAUGUUCAUUGUAAUUUGUGGCAUAUGUCAAACA
rnacentral:misc_RNA from 1 species